rnacentral:rRNA from 1 species
GAGCGGAUUAUGAGACGCUGCUCUCAUAGGUCAGCGGCGGACGGGUGAGUACACGUGGGCAAUCUGCCUGUCAGACUGGAAUAACGCCUGUGAAACGGGUGCUAAUGCCGGAUAAUAAGCUUUGGGACAUCCCAAGGUUUUGAAAGGUGCUACGGCACUACUGAUAGAGGAGCCCGCGGCGCAUAAGCUAGUUGGUGGGGUAGAGGCCUACCAAGGCGACGAUGCGUAUCCGACCUGAGAGGGUGACCGGCCACACUGGGACUGAGAUACGGCCCAUACUCCUACGGGAGGCAGCAGUAGGGAAUCUUCCGCAAUGGGCGAAAGCCUGACGGAGCAACUCCGCGUGAGCGAGGAAUGUCUUCGGAUUGUAAAGCUCAGUCACCCGGGAAGAGCGGAUAUAAUAGGGAAUGCUUCUAUCUAUACGGUACCGGGAGAGGAAGCCCCGGCUAACUACGUGCCAGCAGCCGCGGUAAU